UCAGAAGAUUAUCUUAUCGCCUUACUUACGGGUAAGGAGGAAAGUCCGGGCAACGCAGAGUACCGUACUUCCUAACGGGAAGGCACCCCGACUGCAGACGGGGUGACAGCCAGUGCCACAGAAAACGAACCGCCCCGCCAUGGGUGGGGUAAGGGUGAAAAGGUGGGGUAAGAGCCCACCGGGCCGCCGGUGACGGAGGUUGCAGGGUAAACCUUACGGGUUGAAAGGCCAAAUAGGUCGGCAUCCGGCGCAAGCCAGGAUUAAGGGUGACUCGCCCGACGCCGACGGGUAGGCUGAUGGAGCGGUUUCGUGAGGGACCGUCUAGAUAAAUGAUAAGACCUUUGUCGGCGCCUUGUGCGUUGGCAGAGCGACAGAACCCGGCUUAUCGAUCUUCUGCAUCU
rnacentral:RNase_P_RNA from 1 species